UGUUUUGGUUUAAUUUUUUUUAAUUUUUUGUUUUAUUUUUUGCUUCUUAAACGCGACAUUAGGUCUUUUGUAAACGCCGGCUGUUCGCGGCGGGGUCAGCCCACCUCCUUAGCGCUCUCUCUCCGUCGCCGGGAGGGCUGUGGUGACGCUGUUGUUGUUUCCCUGCGGAGGCUGUCGGCGUUCCUCCUGCCCGCGUCCAAGAUGGUGGCGGGCGGGCGCCGAGCCGUUGUCUCUGUGCGCGGCGGCCUCGCUGGGGGGCGGGGGUGUUUCUCUUCGGUGUUUCUGCCCAUUUCCCGUGUCCUGUCUUCCUUGCUGGAAGCCCAGGGUGUUGCGGAGCGGGGGUGUCGGCAGCCCUCCCCGUGAGGAAAUCCGCUCCCUUCCCCCGCUGCUGGGCCUGGCCUGUCGGUGCAGCACCCUCGGCAGCAAUAGAACUGGAGGAGAGGGAGGUUUUGCCCGCCUGAGGCGCGGUGUGAGGCCUGUGCUGGAGCCAGGGCGUGAUAGCGCGCGCCUGCCGUUGCUGAGGGAAGACGUGUACGCACUAUGCCUUUGAGGGACACGAGUGGCCAUAAGGCCUUUGUGAAUGCAUGGAGGAAAUUUGCGAUGGGGAGAAGGCAAGCUGUUAAACGUGUGAGAACUCCCCAAAGACACCUUGAAAGUCUGGAUACAGCUGUUUUGUUGAACUAUGGCCACAGCAUCAAUGAGGUUUAUUUUUAAGAGUGAAAUGGAAAGUUGGAAACACUGGGUCGAAACCUUUCCCAGGAACAGUGGUCACUUCCUGAAGACAUAGGAGGAGGAAUCAAGUUAAGUGCUUCUCUGUAAUUACUAAUCUUUCAAAGUUGCAUAGUCUUUUAACUACUGCAUAGAAAAUGGGUACACACCAAUCAGUGACUUAUGAGCAUGAAUCUCUGUCAACAGUUAUCAGAACCACCAAAACCACAUAUAAAGCCUGAUUACUGCUGUGAGCAGAAGUCCACACUUUGACUUCUGUGGGGGAUAAGUAUGUACAUCAAAGAGCAUGAUCAAACCUAAGAACUGAGAAAGACAAACAGCAAUUAAUGCUGCAUCUUUAUUACAGUGGACCCGGUAUGAUCUUGAUUUUACAUCCGAACUAGGCUUCUGCUGUACAUGCAUUACUCUUCUGGAAAAAGAAGUCAGCUCCUUCCUAUUUCUCGUCUUUCAAAGCCAGUGUUGCACAACCAAGCCUCCAGACGUUGUAAUUCACGCUGUAGAGCAUCCUACCCGCUGAAAUGAAUGGGAACUCUAAUGAAACUAAGAUGUAAGGAUGGCGACAUCUACCUUAGAGUAAAAAUGGAAAUGCCAACUAUGCUAUUAAAAAAGGCCAUAAUAUACAUGAGAGAAGAACCAUGAGUCCUACCAUUAUGGUAUCUAUUAAUCUUAAACUUUACAACAUUAAAAUAUGGGAAGUUUUUAUUUGUUUGAAACACAGACCGUCUUUUGAAAAAGAUAUGAGUAGAAAACAAACAGGUCAUAGUACACAUUCUCCUUUUCAUCUUUGUCCAGAACUCCCAUUGUUUUCUGUGCAGGAAAAACCAAUACAAUAUGGUCCAAUGUCUGUAAAUGAUAAAGCAAAAAGCAUUCCAUUAAUUUAUUUCUGAUUUAGUCUGGGUUAUAUUGUUUCAUACAUGUUUGAGACUCUUCAAGUUGCUUGGUUUAUGCAUGCAGCACAUAUAAAUAUUAACACUUGGGUAUUGCAGUAUUGCUUGAGCCUAUUGAACAAUUUUUAAAAAGUAAUUUCUAUACUGAAAAAAAUCUUCUUACAAUUAACUAUGACAAGGUGUAGAAUACAGUUCUUAUAGAAAUCUAGUUGUGUUGAUAAACAGAAAUUGCAUAAAUACUGAGACACUGAAGUUCAACAACCAACUUGUUAGAUGAAGAAAUGCCCAGUUCUACUGGAGAACACAUCAGAAAGACUUUCAAAUAGGGAGCUGUACUCUGAUUCCUGCAGCCAUUCUCAGCUUUGUCAGCAUGACGGCUAGAAUAGAGUAAAUUUAACACCAGAAGAGCUAUGGUCAGUCCACCUUCAGCCUUGCCUACCUUCAGUGAAAAGGGAACCAGAACUCCUAAAAUACAGAUGUGUGGUUUUCUGCCACCUUUGAUAUGGAGACAAAAAUUCCUGGGAGAGUGUCAGUGUGGUUAGUUACCACAGUGUGGUUAGUAACCUCUUCAACUGCUGGUACUCAGUAGAGGUGAUCUGCCUGACUGACUCCAAAAGCAAUAAUCCAUUGUUUGAACCACCUUGUCUCUCUCCUGCACGGAGUUACCUCUUCUGUGGGACACUGAUCAAAUCCAGGUGCUGCUUUCCCAUCAGCAACACAAGAGCUGUCAGCGUUGCCUGUCCAAACUGAGGUAUAGAUGUCUGGGCACACAUCAGGGUGGAGGUGGAAUUUUGUUAACAGAGAGAACUAAGAACCCAGAGAAGACAGAGCAUUUGGGAACUGAUGCCCUCUCUGGAAUAUUAAAAGACCUUCUACAUACCUCAGGGGUUAUGUCUAGAUGGAUGAGUGUGGAGAGUUGCUUGCCUGCUCUUAUACUUUGAGCUACCAGGCUGCAGGCCAGCUCUGAUAUGAAAACUGAAACCACAGCAUUGUGACACUGUGCUUGUAUUUACCAUAACUGUUCUCUCUGCAGGACUUAUCAACACAGCUCUGAGCUUUUGGUAAGUGCAGUUACCUGAUACACAGACCAGUCUGGAUAACAUCCAUCUGGCUCAGACUGUAAGCAGCUGCAUGCACCACCCUGCACGGGCACUUUUCGUGAGUUGCAGUAGUCAGCUCCCACACAGCUACUGCAGCAGUCGUACACAGAUACAGUGAGUUGCUAGUCACUGUGCAGUGGAAGCAAACUGUUCCUGUGACAACAACACUCUUAGCAUAUAAUUUCACGUUUCAUAGUAUAUAAUCCCUUUGAAUUGUUCAAGUAAAAUGUAAAAAUGACAAUAUAUUGAAACCAAAUGAAGAAAAAAUUAAAAUCAGAGCAGCUCUAAGCUGACAUAUUUAAAAUUACUUUGAAAUGAAAUUAAGCUUUUCAAUAACAAAUGGGUUUCUUGUGGCUCCAAAACAAAGAGUAAGGAAUGAAAUACAGACUUAUAUGUGCAUAAAUGAUUUAGGUGGCGAAUGGGGAGGAGAUGGUCAUAGAGAGAAAGUACAUUUGCAAGUUCCUGAAAAACCCAUGUAGGAGAGAGUUCCACAGAAAAACUGAAUACUAUGACUCAGCUUGAUCCAGAUAAGGUUUUCAUAGGGGAAUAAAAGGCAAAACCUUUGAUCUUGGUUGCUGUGAUAGAAAAUUGAGUAAUAAAUUAUGGUUCUGUUAAUGUCUUAAUCAUAGCUUAUACAUAAUUUUCUCUUGCCAACAUUCCUUUGCUUCUAGUUGUACUUUGACACAGCAUGAUUGCAUGAGUGUCUCAAGUAAACUCAAUAGCUCUUCCAGGAGGAGGCCUGACUCCUUGUAGCCCACCAAAGCUGGAUGUGUCAGAAGAAAGGGACUGGAUGAAAAGCAGCCAAGGGGACUUUCUGGCUGGGGAUUGUGUAGCUGCUUUCAUGGAAACACUAAUAAGAGAAACAUCCCCAGGGAACCAUGUGGGCAAAUGACACCAGAUGGAUCUAGGGAGUUCAGCUUCUUCCUUAAGCAACAUCUGCUGGUAUUGGAAGUAUCCAGAAAGCCACCCCACACUUAAAAAUUAAACAAAACAAAAAACAAUCUGCAACAGGAAGAACAACCCAAGUGACAUGGGAAGCUCAAGAGAAGGAAACUGAAAAAGCAUAAUUUCCUCAGAUUUUUGGACUGUUGAGAAGCCCAGCUCUUGGAAGUCCUGGGAAAACCUUCACAUGACUAUCUAUUUUGGAACCUGGAGCUGGGUUACUGUGGGAUAAUUCAUACGACCACACAGACUAAUCACAAGGGCCUUGUUAUUUAAACGUGCCGAUUACUUUUUUUUUGCAAUAGCUCCUGCUCUUCUCCACAUCCCACAAUGCAUUCCAGGGCUACUAUGUUAAUUGGAAGUAUAUUCCUGUAUGUGAAGUGGACUUUAAUUAGCACCUAAGGGGCACAUUCUGGUGUCCUGACUCAUGUGGCAUGGGGGUGUACCUCUGUUGCUCCAUCACAGCCUGUGGGACUUCUCAUGAAGAAAGGUACUUCCUGGCCCAGAUGAAGGCUGGCUUGGAAGCUCUGAGCCACCCAGAUGGGAUAAGAGACUCCACUGAAUCUCCAGCGUGGAAUGCCAUGGCCCGGGGCCCUAAAUAACAAUAGUUACACUAACACUUCUAAUUAUUUUGCUCAACUAAUAAGCAACAUGAACGGCUCCAGAUUUUAAGUCUGUGAGCAAAGUAGGAACACUGUAAAAUCUUGGAUUCCAGGCAGUCUUGUAACAAAUUAAUAACUUUGACUACUAUGUGAGUCAUCUGUAAAAUGGGCCCUGAGUUAUGAAGACACACACCAACUGUGGGGGUAUCACAGAAAAUUAAAAUUAAUGUCACAUAUUACUGUUUCAAUUACAAUAAAAGUACUGCAUCUGGAAGUGCUGAGAAAAGUGGGAGGGGCAAAAGUCCACUGAUUAGCAUAAUUACAUCCAUGCAUCUGCUUCCCAAAAGCAGGCUGUGAAUUGGUUUCAGCUCAGCGUCAGCACCUCCUGCCAGCCAUGCAGUGAGACAAUUGUGAACAGACAUCCUAGCUCCUGCUCUGUGGGAUGAAGCUGGCAGCCAGGAUGGAAAGAAACAAAAGGCACUGAUUAAAACAAAAAGCCUAGUCUACAGGUUCUUCAGUCAUGACAUAAAAAGUCUUUUUUGUUGUUGUUGUUGUCUUAAUGCUAUUAAUCGCCUUUCAAAGCCCUUGCAAAAUGCACUUCCCUGAUGAUAAUAAAACAUUCCCUCCAAAAUCAGUUCUCUGGCUCCUUCCUUGUUCUAAACCCACGUGCACUCAAAAUCCUCACCUGCAGGACCAUAGGUGCAGAUGUCACUAAAUACAGCUUCUUUGAUGGUUACUACAGAACGAUGCGUGUUACUGUCCUUUUCAUGGACAUCCUAUGACAAUCCAGCAGGAGGAACCAGGGCCAACUUAUAAAUCACCUGAGCAGUGUCUCAAUUGUGCUAUCUCUGUGAGGCAUCUCUUGCCCCGUGACAGCUGGGGAUUAAAAUGUCAGCAAGUACUUCAUGAAAAUUGUUAUCUAUUAAUUGUUUCGUAACUCUGUAGAAUAUUUAUGAAACUAUGCUGUAAAGAGUUAUACAGACUUGAGAAUUAUUAUCUUAAUUGUGCUUUGACUGGAAUUACAAUGCACUGAGGUUACUAAUCUCUUCUCAAUGAGCUAAAUGGUAGUAAAAUAUUUUAAAUCCUUUAAAGUGAGGAGAGAGAUGAAGUUAUUUAAACACAAAGUCCUGCCUAAAAGUACUCUAAGCAAUAUAUCCAGUACUCUAAGCAUUAUAUCCAUCACAAAUAUAGUAAGAAAAUAUAUGAAAACUAAGAGAUGAAAAAUAGGUUUUAAUUGUUUAACGUAUUUCUUUUCUUGUUUUAUCAAAAUGUUGUGCCGGAUUUUAUUAACACCAAAUCUAUUUUAUAUUGUUAGAAUACAAGAAAAUGUUUUAAAAUAUAGCAUUAUAGGUUUAAUGUCUCCUGUUGAAUCCAAUGUAACUCAUACAAUGUGAAAAGACUGUUUAUCUGCCAAUGAAGAGAAAGCUAAUCCUUAAAUAUUCUACAUUUUGAAAAUUACACAGUUGGUAUUUUUUUAAAAUGAAGUAACUGUCCAGUGUGCAUCCCUCUGAGUAAAGAACUGUCAUCUAUGAUAUAUUUCUUUUGGCCAAAUAACGCUUAGAAUGAAUGAAGGUAGUAAUUCACUUAUUGUUCAAAACAUGGGUCUCAAUAUAAACACAGUGACUGGGUAUAAAUGUUGCUUUCAGGAUCGAUAAUUUAUUAAUCAGUGAUUUUUGUUGGGCUGAUGCUGCAUUUAUGAAAUGGAGAUGAAUAUUUUUUGACGCCUUCUAACGGCAAGCCUUGCAAUCUCAGUUUAAGAUUUAGGAGGCAGCUUUGAGACCUUUCCUUUUGGCACA